UGGUCAGGUGUAGGACAGGACAGGACAGGGUACCUGUUGGUCAGGUGUAGGACAGGGUACCUGGUGGUCAGGUGUAGGACAGGGUACCUGGUGGUCAGGUGUAGGACAGG